rnacentral:rRNA from 1 species
AAACUCCUACGGGAGGCAGCAGUCGAGAAUCUUUCGCAAUGGGGGAAACCCUGACGACGCGACGCCGCGUGAGCGAUGAAGGCCUUCGGGUUGUAAAGCUCUGUCACUAGGGAGGAAAGAUACCGGUAUUAAUACUACCAGUAUUUGACAUUACCUGGAGAGGAAGCCCCGGCUAACUCCGUGCCAGCAGCCGCGGUAAUACGGAGGGGGCAAGCGUUGUUCGGAUUUACUGGGCGUAAAGGGUGCGUAGGCGGGUAUAUAAGUGAAACGUGAAAGCCUGAGGCUUAACUUCAGAACUGCGUUUCAAACUAUAUACCUGGAGUAUGGAAGAAGUAAGCGGAAUUCUCAGUGUAGCGGUGAAAUGCGUAGAUAUUGAGAAGAACACCAGAAGUGAAAACGGCUUACUAUUCUGGUACUGACGCUGAGGCACGAAGGCUAAGGGAGCAAACAGGAUUAGAUACCCUGGUAGUCUUAGCAGUAAACGAUGUCAACUUGGUAUAGGGAAAUCGACCUUUUCUGUGCCGGAGCUAACGCAUUAAGUUGACCGCCUGGGGAGUACGGCCGCAAGGCUAAAACUCAAAGAAAUUGACGGGGGCCCGCACAAGCGGUGGAGCAUGUGGUUCAAUUCGAAGCAACGCGAAGAACCUUACCUGGACUUGACAUGUAUUUGACAGGCUGUGAAAAUGGCUUUUCUUUCGGGACAGAUACACAGGUGUUGCAUGGCUGUCGUCAGCUCGUGUCGUGAGAUGUUGGGUUAAGUCCCGCAACGAGCGCAACCCUUACUUUCAGUUACCAGCGAGUGAUGUCGGGGACUCUGAAGGGACUGCCGGUGACAAACCGGAGGAAGGUGGGGAUGACGUCAAGUCAUUAUGGCCCUUACGUCCAGGGCUACACACGUGCUACAAUGGCCGGUACAGAGGGAAGCAAGACCGCGAGGUGGAGCAAAUCCUUGAAACCCGGUCCCAGUUCGGAUUGGAGUCUGCAAUUCGACUCCAUGAAGUCGGAAUCGCUAGUAAUGGCAGAUCAGCUACGCUGCCGUGAAUACGUUCCCGGGCCUUGUACACACCGCCCGUCACAUCACGAAAGUUGAUUUUACCUGAAGUCGCUGUACCAACCUUUCGGGGAGGAAUGUGCCGAAGGUAAGAUUGAUGAUUGGGAUGAAGUCGUAACAAGGCA